rnacentral:rRNA from 1 species
UCCUACGGGGGGCAGCAGUGAGGAAUAUUGGUCAAUGGUCGGGAGACUGAACCAGCCAAGCCGCGUGAGGGAUGAAGGUACAGAGUAUCGUAAACCUCUUUUGUCAGGGAACAAAGGCGGGGACGUGUCCCCGGAUGAGUGUACCUGAAGAAAAAGCAUAGGCUAACUCCGUGCCAGCAGCCGCGGUAAUACGGAGGAUGCGAGCGUUAUCCGGAUUUAUUGGGUUUAAAGGGCGCGCAGGCGGUCUGUUAAGUCAGCGGUCAAAGCCCGGGGCUCAACCCCGGCCCGCCGUUGAAACUGGCAGU